rnacentral:rRNA from 1 species
UGGGGAAUAUUGCACAAUGGGCGAAAGCCUGAUGCAGCAACGCCGCGUGAGGGACGACGGCCUUCGGGUUGUAAACCUCUUUAGCAAGAAGAAGCGAAAGUGACGGUACUUGCAGAAAAAGCGCCGGCUAACUACGUGCCAGCAGCCGCGGUAAUACGUAGGGCGCAAGCGUUAUCCGGAAUUAUUGGGCGUAAAGAGCUCGUAGGCGGUUUGUCGCGUCUGCUGUGAAAACCCGAGGCUCAACCUCGGGCCUGCAGUGGGUACGGGCAGACUAGAGUGCGGUAGGGGAGAUUGGAACUCCUGGUGUAGCGGUGGAAUGCGCAGAUAUCAGGAAGAACACCGAUGGCGAAGGCAGAUCUCUGGGCCGUAACUGACGCUGAGGAGCGAAAAGGGUGGGGAGCAAAACAGGCUUAGAUACCCUGGUAGUCCACCCCGUAAACGUUGGGAACUAGUUGUGGGGUCCAUUCCACGGAUUCCGUGACGCAGCU